rnacentral:rRNA from 1 species
GUCCACGCCCUAAACGAUGUCUACUAGUUGUUGGGAGAGUAAAAUCUCUUAGUAACGCAGCUAACGCGCGAAGUAGACCGCCUGGGGAGUACGGUCGCAAGAUUAAAACUCAAAGGAAUUGACGGGGCCCGCACAAGCGGUGGAUUAUGUGGAUUAAUUCGAUGCAACGCGAAAACCUUACCUGGCCUUGACAUGCUACUAACGAAGCAGAGAUGCAUUAGGUACCCGAAAGGGAAGUAGACACAGGUGCUGCAUGGCUGUCGU